rnacentral:rRNA from 1 species
GACGAACGCUGGCGGCGUGCUUAACACAUGCAAGUCGAACGGUGAAGCGCCUUCCUUUUUGGUGGGUGUGGAUGAGUGGCGAACGGGUGAGUAACACGUGAGUAACCUGCCCCCUUCUUCUGGAUAACCGCAUGAAAGUGUGGCUAAUACGGGAUAUUCUGGUUCUGUCGCAUGAUGGGUCUGGGAAAGAUAUUGUUUCGGUGGGGGAUGGGCUCGCGUCCUAUCAGCUUGUUGGUGGGGUGAUGGCCUACCAAGGCGGUGACGGGUAGCCGGCCUGAGAGGGUGGACGGUCACACUGGGACUGAGACACGGCCCAGACUCCUACGGGAGGCAGCAGUGGGGAAUAUUGCACAAUGGGCGAAAGCCUGAUGCAGCGACGCCGCGUGAGGGAUGGAGGCCUGCGGGUUGUGAACCUCUUUCGCCAGUGAAGCAGGCCUGCCUCGUUUGUGGGUGGGUUGACGGUAGCUGGAUAAGAAGCGCCGGCUAACUACGUG